ACAUUCUACCUGUAGGGGGAUGAAGUGCCAACCUGGCAACCCGCUACGUGAAGAUAAGCAGUACCACUCUCCUCCUUUCCAGACCUUUCCAUCCUCCACGUCUCCGAAACGGCACAGCGAACUGUUCUGAGGGUCCAGUGUGAGUCAAAGGCCAAAAGAUGGCGCCCAACAGCAGGGAAGAAGAUGACGUCAACUUCUCUUUUAAUACUGUCUUCACUGGGGGUAAAAAAGAAGAAAAAAUAUGAUAACAGUCACAAACGUAGAUCAUCAACUUCACCUGACCUGGUAUUUUUAGAAUACAGAUGUUCAUUUAGCUAAAAAAAAUCUAAAGUAUAAACACAUACAAUGUUAUAUAUAUAUAUAUACUAAAAGGAAAACAUAGAGUUGUAUUUUUUAUUUCUUGUAAGCUUUGAGACACUGGGAAGAAGAUAUGAAAUUAUCUUACCUGUUAUUAUAUUAAAUUAUGCAAAAUGGUUUCUUGCAUGUUUUCACUUUGUAUGAUUUGAUUUUGUGUAUUAAAACCUCUGAAGCACAAAACCCCAAAAGAGGUUUGUAAUUAUGAGGUUUGUUAGUUCUUUAAAAAAAAAACCAAAAACAAAAGUACAACAUUUACCAGAGCUACAAACUGUAGAAACACAAAGAAUCACCUGAUUUUCAACUUUCCAAUCGUCCUUGAACUAUUCAUCUCUAAAUUUAUAUAUUCUGUGUGAAGAUUGUUGUACAUUUUGAUUUCAUUUUUAUUUAUAAAACUUUGUAUUGCAGUGAAACAAUAAUUAUAGUAAACACAUCUUUUACUGUGUAAAUACUUCAUGUAACAUGAUAGGAAAGUAUUGUUGCAGCAGGAACGUGUAACUGAUGCAGAUUGUAUAUGAAUUUAAUGAAGCAUAUUUCACUUUUAUGUUAUCUUGAACUUAUUUCAGUCUUUCAGUACUGUGAAUCAUAAUAUUCUCAUGUUGUACCGAUACACAAGAAUGCCAUUAAUAAAAACUGUUUUUAAAUA